rnacentral:rRNA from 1 species
CGGACGGGUGAGUAACACGUAGUUGACCUGCCCCCUUGUGGGGGAAUAACUCCUCGAAAGAGGAGCUAAUACCGCAUAAGUUCUCCCAUACAGGUGGGAGAGGAAAGCCUUCGAAAGGGGCGCGAGGGGAGGGGACUGCGGCGGAUUAGCUAGAUGGUGGGGUAAAGGCCUACCAUGGCGACGAUCCGUAGCUGGUCUGAGAGGACGACCAGCCACACUGGGACUGAGACACGGCCCAG